AGUGAACGCUGGCGGCAGGCCUAACACAUGCAAGUCGAGCGGCAGCGCGGGGGCAACCCUGGCGGCGAGCGGCGGACGGGUGAGGAAUUCGUCGGAAUCUGCCUUUUUGUGGGGGAUAACGUAGGGAAACUUACGCUAAUACCGCAUACGUCCUACGGGAGAAAGUGGGGGACCGCAAGGCCUCACGCAGAAAGAUGAGCCGACGACCGAUUAGCUAGUUGGUGGGGUAAAGGCCCACCAAGGCGACGAUCGGUAGCUGGUCUGAGAGGAUGAUCAGCCACACUGGGACUGAGACACGGCCCAGACUCCUACGGGAGGCAGCAGUGGGGAAUAUUGGACAAUGGGCGCAAGCCUGAUCCAGCCAUGCCGCGUGUGUGAAGAAGGCCUUCGGGUUGUAAAGUACUUUUGUCCGGAAAGAAAUCCCUGGAGCUAAUACCUUCGGGGGAUGACGGUACCGGAAGAAUAAGCACCGGCUAACUUCGUG
rnacentral:rRNA from 1 species